rnacentral:lncRNA from 10 species
GCUCGCUCUCUCCUGCUCCACCAUGAUAAGAUGUGCUUGCUUCCCCUUCACUUUCCGACUUGAUCGUAAGUUUCCCAGCCAGGCUUCCUGUACAGCUUGUGGAACUGGUAUAAUGGAAGAUCCUAUUCCAGAAAACUUCCUAAUCUGAAAACGACAUGGGCAUCCAGCCUCAGCAGCAAACCACAUAAAUUGGACAUCAUGUGGCUCUCCUGGUAAGGCACAACAACAUGCACGUAGGCCAGAAAGCAGAAACCAUCUAUCUACUGGGGUCAUGGAGGCCAUCAAACAAUGGCUUGUUCACAUUCUUUUUAUGAGCAUCCAGAUUUCCCUGAAAGUGCGACCACUGAGGAGGAUCUCAGAGUAGAAGAGAGAUCAAAGACAGAUGUUAUCCAUCUUAGAUUGCCAUCAGGUGUGUGUGCAUUUUGAGAAAUUAAUAAGACCUAGUUUUUGGAAGGAGUGAAUGAGCAUUCCAGAGGGAAAGACUGUUGUGUGCAAAAUAUUCCUGUGCAGAGAAUGCUAGAAAAGUGAAUUUGACUGGAACUUGGGACACGUUCAGGGAGCGAGUGAAAGAAAAUGAAAUGUAGUUGGAGAAGGGCCUUGAAUGUGUGUGGCUACAGAAAUGGAUGUGAUAUUGAGAGGCAAUAAGAAGCUAUUAUGACUUUUAACAGGUAAGCUACGUGACAGCAAACUGGUUGAAAGACUACCCAAACUUCUUUGUAAGAGGAACUGGUACAGGAGUGGAACUGGAAGCUAGGAGAGCUGCCCUAGAAGUUUCUCUGCAACCCAGGCAUAAGGCAAUGAGGAUUUAACCUCAUCGUAAACUGGUUGCUGAAGUGGAAAUAAAGAUGCAUAUUUGAAUGAAAUAAAGAAGAAGGAAUUUGCAAGUCUUGGGGAAAGAUUAAAUAUCAGGAGUUAAAGAAGGAUAACUCCAAAACGAAUCUAAGAUACUCAGCUUAGCUGAAGAUUGGCCAUGGUGUUGCCAUUGAUAGUAAUGGACAAACUUGGGAAGUAUGCCAUUUUGAGGGUGAGAAUCAUGAAUCCAAAGUUUACUAUUAUAGUGUUGAUGGGACAACCAAGAAGAACUAUUCUGCUAUGCGGAUAAAUGAUGGUAUGGGCUUGGAAAGAGUUUGAAAAAUCACAGUAGAAAUGGAAGAUUUAAGACCUUUGUGGAAGUGGAAUUAUGUGAUCAAAUUAUCAUGAUCACCAUCACUGUCAUCAUGAAGCAUUGUGUGAAGAUACAGUGGGAGUGAGUAAAUGUGUUUGUAAAGUCACAGACAUAGAUAUGGACAAAAUCCAAGUUUAGAUAUAGUCCUCAAUAAGGGAAGAGAAGAAAUCAGUAAAACCAUUGGAAACAAUGAGGUAUUUGAUAAAUAGAAUUGGCGAAUAGAAUAGAGAGUGCUUCAAGAAAGGGUUGUAAUCAGGGUGUCAUGACGAAGCAAUGAAUUCAAGAAGGGGGAAUGGAAUCUGAUCAUCUAGAGAGGCUAACUUCCUUUUGAGAAAGUCAUGAGUUUACAGGCAUGGUUAAGUAGGGAGUGGCUGCAGAAGUAGAGACUAUAAUAAAAUAAAGUUUAGAAAGGACAGAAUCGAAAUCAGAGGAACUCAGAGGUCAUCUAUGAUAACCUCCUCUCCAUUUCAGGAGUCACGUUCAGGAGCUGCAGCCCUAACAGAUACUCACUCUGUCUUGUUGGAAGGACACCGUCUAAUUUGUUAGGCGGUUGAUUCUAUAUUGGGAGAUUAGCAUAUUGGGUUAGUGAAUUCUCCAUUUCAUUGAGAUAAAAAUACAAAAAGAUACAACCACGGAAGGAAGAAAUUUGCUGGUAGCAGGAAAGUGUGGAGGGUUCAAGUAAAGUUCUUAUAUUUAUUUUAACUAGAAGAGAGGUUUGUGUAUAGUUAAAGGAAAAGAAAAAGAAGCAUG